UGGGAUGUGGCUCAGUGGUAGAGCACUUGCCUAGCAUGUAUGAGGCACUGGGUUCAAUUCUCAGUACCACAU
rnacentral:tRNA from 1 species